rfam:Oryctolagus cuniculus chromosome 3, whole genome shotgun sequence.
UGAACGGCAGCUCGACUGUCUCCAAGGUCUUUGGAGGAGAGAUACAAAGGUAGACAUUUCUCCCUCUGAUGUCCACUGAGCCGUGACUGAAAGAGCCGGAAGUGUUUAAGGUGGCUCCCUGGACCCUGUGAGGAUCUCUGUGACGUCAUUCACUGAUGCCUCUCCGUCGGGUGACUGCUGAACAUCAUUGCUUUCUUCCAACCCCACUGGGUGUGGAGCAGUCAUUUAGGGAGUGCCAGCUGAGCUACAGCAAG